rnacentral:piRNA from 1 species
UGGGUUAAAAGGCUUGCACCGCCGCAGU